rnacentral:SRP_RNA from 1 species
AGGCACAUUUUUGCCUGUAGUCCCAGCUACCUGGAGACUGAGGCAGGAGAACUGCUUAAGUCCCUAAGUUUUGAGCUAUAGUGUGCUAUGCCAAUUGGGUGUCCACGCUAAGUUUGGCAUUACUAUAGUGACCUUCUCAGAGCAGGAGACUGCCAGGUUGCCUAAGGAGAGGUGAACCGCCCAGGUUGGAAACAGAGAAUGCCAAAACUCUGUGUUGAUUAGUAGUAGUACUGUGCCAGUGAAUAAUACUGCACUCCGACCUGGGCAACAUAGCAAGACCCUAUCUCUU